CCUACGGGCGGCAGCAGUGAGGAAUAUUGGUCAAUGGCCGAGAGGCUGAACCAGCCAAGUCGCGUGAGGGAAGAAUGUCCUAUGGAUUGUAAACCUCUUUUGUCAGGGAGCAAAGUCACCCGCGUGUGGGUGUUGGAGAGUACCUGAAGAAAAAGCAUCGGCUAACUCCGUGCCAGCAGCCUCGGUAAUACGGAGGAUGCGAGCGUUAUCCGGUUUUAUUGGGUUUAAAGGGUGAGUAGGCGGGUUAUCAAGUCAGCGGUAAAAUCGUGGAGCUAAACUCCAUCCAGCCGUUGAUACUGAUGAUCUUGAGUGGGCGAGAAGUAUGCGGAAUGCGUGGUGUAGCGGUGAAAUGCAUAGAUAUCACGCAGAACUCCGAUUGCGAAGGCAGCUCACUGGACUGCAACUGACACUGAGGCUCGAAAGUGUGGGUAUCAAACAGGAUUAGAUACCCUAGUAGUC
rnacentral:rRNA from 1 species